AGGUGCCCGGGGACACGGGAGGGGACGGGGCGUCCCGGGCGCCGGGGCCGCUCCGGUUCCUCAUUUCCCGGCUGGGCUGAGCCUUCCGCGGACAGCGCGCCGGGCACGGGGGCGAUGGACUACGAGCGCAACAAGGCGCUGCUGCUGGCGCUGCAGAGGGCGGCCGGGACCGGUAACGAUCGCUGCGCUGACUGCGGGGACCCAGAUCCAGAGUGGGCUUCUUACAAACUUGGAAUAUUCAUUUGUUUGAAUUGCUCCGGGAUUCAUCGCAAUCUUCCUGAAAUCAGCAGGGUCAAAUCCCUUCGGCUUGACUUCUGGGAGAGCAGUUUAAUAGAGUUUAUGAAGAACCAUGGGAAUCUCUGGGCCAAAGCUAAAUAUGAGGCAAAGGUCCCUCCUUACUAUUACAUCCCCAAGUCCCGUGACUGCAUGGUUUUAAGACAGCAGUGGAUUAGUGCUAAAUAUGAGCGUGGGGAAUUUCUUGACACCCAAGUCUGCCAAGAUCCCUGUUCUGCAGGCAGCCGUGAAGGAUGCCUCUGGAAGCUUGGGAAGGGACGCAGACAGUUCCAGAAGAGGCAGUUUCUCCUGUCAGCAAAGGAAGGGGUGAUGAAGUACUAUGGCAAAGAAUCCAAAGGUCCAAAAGCUGUUAUCAGCGUUGAGACUCUGAAUGCAAUGUUCCAGGUGGAGAAAAUAGGCCACAGUCAUGGGCUGCAGAUCACAUACAUCACAGAUGGUCAAACAAGGAACCUGUUCGUCUAUCAUGAAAGUGCAAAGGAGAUUGUUGAUUGGUUCAAUGCUAUUCGGGCAGCACGUUACCAUUAUCUCAGAACCACCUUCCCAAAUGUCCCUGAGCCUGAGCUCAUACCCAGGAUCACAAGAAAUUUUGUCAAAGAAGGAUAUAUGGAGAAAACAGGACCAAAAGUAAGUGCAUAUGUGGCAUUACACAAACAGGACCAUUCCAGAUCGAGAAUAUUUGGUAGUUCAAUGAUGCUGACUCAGAAGAUUCACUCAGUGACUCUCUGCUUCCUGGGUUGAUAAAAGACAUUUUAUUCAAGCCUGUCAUGUUAUUUGGGACCAUGUUUUAUUUUGUGUGAAAAAUGGAUUGGGGAAAAGACUCAUCAAAGAGUAAGCAAGGUGAAUUAGCUGUCAAUGGACGUGCAAAGUGCUGUUACACAACACCCCAUGGAUUGCUGUAUCUGCUAACUGCAGCUCCUGCUACAGCAGAACAUGACGUGCUGCCCCUACUUCUCUGUUUCACUUGGAGUCAGUUGCACUUAAGUCACUUCUACUUAGAGCAGCAAAGUGUCAUUUGAACAAAUUUCUCUGCAGUGAAGCCAGUAGUUUGGUUUGUUUUAUUGUGGGAAGUGUUUGGGCCAGUACUCUUGGAACAGAAGAAUGAGGUUUUGGGCACUGCUGAAAGAGGAGAUAAAGAUCUGAGGUCUUGUUUGAACACAGCCACUUCUUGCCUCUGAGUGAACCAUGAGCCAAGUGCCAUUAUAAAGUUCAGUGGUGCAAUGCUGAUUAUGCUGGGUUUUGGCCCAGCUUGUGCCAGCGUUCCAGCACCUCUUCUGCAGGUACUUGCACAGAGCAUGAAAGAUUUUGUGGGGUUUUUUUUCCUGAGGCUUAAAUUCUGCUUAAACUGAGGUGAGUCCCAGAAGAGGCCUCUUCAGUUCAGCCUGGAGCUGGUCAGCCAGGAAUGGUCAGCAGAAGGAGGCCUUUAAGGUACGCUGGUUCUCCUUGGAUUCUCAAGAAAGGAACCUGAUGUACUUUAAAAAUCCACUG